GAAGAGAAGAGAAGAGAAGAGAAGAGAAGAGAAGAGAAGAGAAGAGAAGAGAAGAGAAGAGAAAACCAUCACCUUGUUGCUGCUUUUUUACUUAAUUAGUUUUGGAUUCUUUUUCUCUGGCCAUAGAGACUUUUCCAUUUAAGGUUUAUUACAAAAAAUUAGCACAUCAAGGUAAUGUUGAACUGGAGACUUACCAAGAUGACUCCAUUGUUGAGAUUUAUUGGAUCUCAAUGGAUUAUAAAAUGAAGGUUGAAGUAAGCAGGAGUACUACAGUUAUUCUAGAUUGAUGAAUGACAUGCCAGAAAGCAUCAAACUGGAAAUAUGAUUUCCCAUUGCUCAGAUGGAGUUUUUAUAAAACUGGACCUUAUCAGGAUAUAUCCUGGUGGAGCUUUAGUCAAAAGAGGAAUCACAUGUUGAAAGAAUACCUGGAACCUUUUUCAUUUCCUGUGGUGAACAAUUGUGUGCCCUGUAAAUCAAGGCUCCCCAGCUCCCAGGCCACAGCCUGGUACGAGGCUGUGGCCCAUUCAGAACCAGGCCACGCAAGCUUGUGUGGAACCAUCCCCUCUCCUCCCACCACCACCACCACCCCGGUCUGCAAAGCUGGAAAUGUUGGAGACCACUGCUGUAAAUAAUAUAACAAACUCUUGAAAGAAACAUCAUCAUUAUCAUAUGAAACCUGGGACAGAGCUUGACACAGAUCCCAAAACCAAGAAUAGGAGCAGAAAAGGAGAUAAAUCCCAACUUUUACUUUUUUGGUAAAGUGGGAUUUGUAAGAGCCCCACAUAUGUUUGUGUAUAUAAAGCAGUGGUUCUCAAUUAUUUUCU